AAGUCGAACGCUCCGCAAGGGGAGUGGCAGACGGGUGAGUAACGCGUGGGAACCUUCCCAAUGGUACGGAAUAACCCAGGGAAACUUGGGCUAAUACCGCAUACGCCCUUCGGGGGAAAGAUUUCUCGCCAUUGGAUGGGCCCGCGUCGGAUUAGCUAGUUGGUGAGGUAACGGCUCACCAAGGCUACGAUCCGUAGCUGGUCUGAGAGGAUGAUCAGCCACACUGGGACUGAGACACGGCCCAGACUCCUACGGGAGGCAGCAGUGGGGAAUAUUGGACAAUGGGCGAAAGCCUGAUCCAGCCAUGCCGCGUGAGUGAUGAAGGCCUUAGGGUUGUAAAGCUCUUUCGACGGGGAAGAUAAUGACGGUACCCGUAGAAGAAGCCCCGGCUAACUUCGUGCCAGCAGCCGCGGUAAUACGAAGGGGGCUAGCGUUGUUCGGAAUCACUGGGCGUAAAGCGCGCGUAGGCGGACUGAUUAGUCGGGGGUGAAAGCCCGGGGCUCAACCUCGGAAUUGCCUUCGAUACUGUCAGUCUCGAGUCCAGGAGAGGUUGGUAGAAUUCCUAGUGUAGAGGUGAAAUUCGUAGAUAUUAGGAAGAACACCAGUGGCGAAGGCGGCCAACUGGCCUGGUACUGACGCUGA
rnacentral:rRNA from 1 species